rnacentral:rRNA from 1 species
ACAGAGGGUGCAAACGUUGCUCGGAAUUACUGGGCGUAAAGCGCGUGUAGGCUGACCGGAAAGUCGGGCGUGAAAUCCCUGGGCUCAACCCAGGAACUGCACUCGAAACUCCCGGUCUUGAGUGGUGGAGAGGGAAGUGGAAUUCCUGGUGUAGAGGUGAAAUUCGUAGAUAUCAGGAGGAACACCAGUGGCGAAGGCGGCUUCCUGGACACCAACUGACGCUGAGACGCGAAAGCGUGGGGAGCAAACG